rnacentral:rRNA from 1 species
GUUUGGUUAAGUUAGAAAGGGCGCACGGUGGAUGCCUUGACACUAGGAGUCGAUGAAGGACGGGACUAACGCCGAUAUGCUUCGGGGAGCUGUAAGUAAGCUUUGAUCCGAAGAUUUCCGAAUGGGGAAACCCACCAUACGUAAUGGUAUGGUAUCCUUAUCUGAAUACAUAGGGUAAGGAAGACAGACCCAGGGAACUGAAACAUCUAAGUACCUGGAGGAAGAGAAAGCAAAUGCGAUUUCCUGAGUAGCGGCGAGCGAAACGGAACAUAGCCCAAACCAAGAGGCUUGCCUCUUGGGGUUGUAGGACAUUCUAUACGGAGUUACAAAGGAACGAGGUAGACGAAGCGACCUGGAAAGGUCCGUCGUAGAGGGUAACAACCCCGUAGUCGAAACUUCGUUCUCUCUUGAAUGUAUCCUGAGUACGGCGGAACACGUGAAAUUCCGUCGGAAUCUGGGAGGACCAUCUCCCAAGGCUAAAUACUCCCUAGUGAUCGAUAGUGAACCAGUACCGUGAGGGAAAGGUGAAAAGCACCCCGGAAGGGGAGUGAAAGAGAUCCUGAAACCGUGUGCCUACAAAUAGUCAGAGCCCGUUAACGGGUGAUGG